CACGUAGGGUGCGAGCGUUGUCCGGAAUUAUUGGGCGUAAAGAGCUCGUAGGCGGUGUGUCGCGUCGGCCGUGAAAACCUGCAGCUUAACUGUGGGCUUGCGGUCGAUACGGGCAUCACUGGAGUUCGGCAGGGGAGACUGGAAUUCCUGGUGUAGCGGUGAAAUGCGCAGAUAUCAGGAGGAACACCUGUGGGCGAAGGCGGGUCUCUGGGCCGAUACUGACGC
rnacentral:rRNA from 1 species